CUGCCGUUAUCAGAGCUCUCCAAGAUUGCCGUUUUCUCGCCGGUCUAACAAUGGAUU
rnacentral:sRNA from 1 species